UACGUAGGGGGCAAGCGUUGUCCGGAUUUAUUGGGCGUAAAGAGCGUGUAGGCGGCUAUGCAGGUCCGCUGUGAAAACUCGAGGCUCAACCUCGAGACGUCGGUGGAAACCGCAUGGCUAGAGUCCGGAAGAGGAGAGUGGAACUCCCGGUGUAGCGGUGAAAUGCGCAGAUAUCGGGAAGAACACCCGUGGCGAAGGCGGCUCUCUGGGACGGUACUGACGCUGAGACGCGAAAGCGUGGGGAGCGAACAGG
rnacentral:rRNA from 1 species